UUAAUUAAUAUAAUUGAACUUGAUCAGGACUCAAUUGUUGAGAUUGGAUUUGAUUGGGUCUAAAUUAGUGUAAUUGGGCUCGAUCAUGAUUUAAUUGGGAUUUAAUUUCGUAUUUGUUCUGAUCUAAGUCGGACUUGGAUCGAGCCGAAACUAGACCUAAUUGAAUCUCCUAUGAGUCAGACUCAUGUGGAAUUUUUUCGGGUCAAAAAUUCAUUCAAAUGGGCUGCAAAUUUGGUUUAGAACCAAAUUGACUAACUUAUGAUCAAAUGGGCUAACCCAUUUGUAUCACAA
rnacentral:lncRNA from 1 species